rnacentral:rRNA from 1 species
AAUCCGGUUCACUUUAACACUGAGGCGUGACGACGAGGCACUACGGUGCUGAAGCAACAAAUGCCCUGCUUCCAGGAAAAGCCUCUAAGCAUCAGGUAACAUCAAAUCGUACCCCAAACCGACACAGGUGGUCAGGUAGAGAAUACCAAGGCGCUUGAGAGAACUCGGGUGAAGGAACUAGGCAAAAUGGUGCCGUAACUUCGGGAGAAGGCACGCUGACACGUAGGUGAAGUGAUUUACUCAUGGAGCUGAAGUCAGUCGAAGAUACCAGCUGGCUGCAACUGUUUAUUAAAAACACAGCACUGUGCAAACACGAAAGUGGACGUAUACGGUGUGACGCCUGCCCGGUGCCGGAAGGUUAAUUGAUGGGGUCAGCGCAAGCGAAGCUCCUGAUCGAAGCCCCGGUAAACGGCGGCCGUAACUAUAACGGUCCUAAGGUAGCGAAAUUCCUUGUCGGGUAAGUUCCGACCUGCACGAAUGGCGUAAUGAUGGCCAGGCUGUCUCCACCCGAGACUCAGUGAAAUUGAACUCGCUGUGAAGAUGCAGUGUACCCGCGGCAAGACGGAAAGACCCCGUGAACCUUUACUAUAGCUUGACACUGAACAUUGAGCCUUGAUGUGUAGGAUAGGUGGGAGGCUUUGAAGUGUGGACGCCAGUCUGCAUGGAGCCGACCUUGAAAUACCACCCUUUAAUGUUUGAUGUUCUAACGUGGACCCGUAAUCCGGGUUGCGGACAGUGUCUGGUGGGUAGUUUGACUGGGGCGGUCUCCUCCUAAAGAGUAACGGAGGAGCACGAAGGUUGGCUAAUCCUGGUCGGACAUCAGGAGGUUAGUGCAAUGGCAUAAGCCAGCUUGACUGCGAGCGUGACGGCGCGAGCAGGUGCGAAAGCAGGUCAUAGUGAUCCGGUGGUUCUGAAUGGAAGGGCCAUCGCUCAACGGAUAAAAGGUACUCCGGGGAUAACAGGCUGAUACCGCCCAAGAGUUCAUAUCGACGGCGGUGUUUGGCACCUCGAUGUCGGCUCAUCACAUCCUGGGGCUGAAGUAGGUCCCAAGGGUAUGGCUGUUCGCCAUUUAAAGUGGUACGCGAGCUGGGUUUAGAACGUCGUGAGACAGUUCGGUCCCUAUCUGCCGUGGGCGCUGGAGAACUGAGGGGGGCUGCUCCUAGUACGAGAGGACCGGAGUGGACGCAUCACUGGUGUUCGGGUUGUCAUGCCAAUGGCACUGCCCGGUAGCUAAAUGCGGAAGAGAUAAGUGCUGAAAGCAUCUAAGCACGAAACUUGCCCCGAG